rnacentral:rRNA from 1 species
CUUGGNGGUUGUGCCCUUGUGCCGUGGCUUUCGGCGCUNNCGCUUUCNGUCGUCCGCCUGGGGUGUCCGGUCGCAAGAUUAAAACUCAAAUGAAUUGACGGGGGCCCGCACAAGCGGUGGAGCAUGUGGUUUAAUUCGAUGCAACGCGAAGAACCUUACCUACUCUUGACAUCCAGAGAAGCUUGAAGAGAUUCGAGUGUGCCUUCGGGAACUCUGAGACAGGUGCUGCAUGGCUGUCGUCAGCUCGUGUUGUGAAAUGUUGGGUUAAGUCCCGCAACGAGCGCAACCCUUAUCCUUGUUUUCCAGCACUUCGGGUGGGAACUCCAGGGAGACUGCCGGUGAUAAACCGGAGGAAGGUGGGGACGACGUCAAGUCAUCAUGGCCCUUACGAGUAGGGCUACACACGUGCUACAAUGGUAUAUACAGAGGGCAGCAAGACCGCGAGGUGGAGCGAAUCCCAGAAAGUAUGUCGUAGUCCGGAUCGGAGUCUGCAACUCGACUCCGUGAAGUCGGAAUCGCUAGUAAUCGUGGAUCAGAAUGCCACGGUGAAUACGUUCCCGGGCCUUGUACACACCGCCCGUCACACCAUGGGAGUGGGCUGCACCAGAAGUAGAUAGCUUAACCUUCGGGAGGGCGUUUACCACGGUGUGGUUCAUGACUGGGGUGAAGUCGUAACAAGGUAGCCG